CCUACGGGAGGCAGCAGUGAGGAAUAUUGGUCAAUGGACGAGAGUCUGAACCAGCCAAGUAGCGUGAAGGAUGACUGCCCUAUGGGUUGUAAACUUCUUUUAUAUGGGAAUAAAACGUUCCACGUGUGGGAUUUUGUAUGUACCAUAUGAAUAAGGAUCGGCUAACUCCGUGCCAGCAGCCGCGGUAAUACGGAGGAUCCGAGCGUUAUCCGGAUUUAUUGGGUUUAAAGGGAGCGUAGGUGGAUUGUUAAGUCGGUUGUGAAAGUUUGCGGCUCAACCGUAAAAUUGCAGUUGAAACUGGCAGUCUUGAGUACAGUAGAGGUGGGCGGAAUUCGUGGUGUAGCGGUGAAAUGCUUAGAUAUCACGAAGAACUCCGAUUGCGAAGGCAGUUCACUGGACUGCAACUGACACUGAGGCUCGAAAGUGUGGGUAUCAAACAGGAUUAGAUACCCUUGUAGUC
rnacentral:rRNA from 1 species